rnacentral:misc_RNA from 1 species
AAGUCGUAACAAGGUCUCCGUAGGUGAACCUGCGGAGGGAUCAUUACCGAGUGAACGGCGCUCCGGCGCCCGACCUCCCAACCCUUUGAUUUGAUCAAGACCUCCUUCUGCCUCGGGGGCGACCCGGCCCACGUGGUCCGCGGUCCCCCCGGCGGCGCACAAUUCCAACUCUGCAUCAAUUGUCGUCGGAUAUUGAAGCGAAUUCAAUCAAAACUUUCAACAACGGAUCUCUUGGUUCUG